rnacentral:tRNA from 1 species
AAAAGUAAGCUAAAAAAAGCUAUUGGGCUCAUACCUCAAUUAUAGGAUCAUCUCUUUUUUA